rnacentral:tRNA from 1 species
GGUUUGUGGUUCAGUGGUAGAGCGCUUGCCUCACAUACAUGGGGCACUGGGUUCGAUCCUCAGCACCA